rnacentral:rRNA from 1 species
UACGAAGGGGGCUAGCGUUGCUCGGAAUCACUGGGCGUAAAGGGUGCGUAGGCGGGUUUUAAGUCAGGGGUGAAAUCCUGGAGCUCAACUCCAGAACUGCCUUUGAUACUGAGAAUCUUGAGUAUGGGAGAGGUGAGUGGAACUGCGAGUGUAGAGGUGAAAUUCGUAGAUAUUCGCAAGAACACCAGUGGCGAAGGCGGCUCACUGGCCCAUUACUGACGCUGAGGCACGAAAGCGUGGGGAGCAAACAGG